GUGCCUGUGGCUCAAGGAGUAGGGUGCUGGCCCCAUAUGCCAGAGGUGGUGGGUUCAAACCCAGCCCUGGCCCA
rfam:Otolemur garnettii contig099586, whole genome shotgun sequence.